AUGCUGCUGCCGCGGGCGGGGGCUGCGGCGCGGGGCUGGGGCGGCGGCGGCGGCGCGGCGGGACGGUCCCCGCCGCCGCUGGCCGCCCUGUCCCAGGUGCUGCGGCUGGAGCGGAGCCGCCGCACCGGCGUCGUGUUCCCGCUGCAGAAGCUGGCGCGCUACCUGGCUCCCGGCGCCGACACGGCGCGGUUCCGCCUCUUCCAGCCGGGCCUGGCCGCCCUGCAGCGCGCCGAGGCGCUCUUCAGGUCCGGCCGCGACCACGCCAUCGACUACGUGAGCUCCGCCGUCCGCAUGGACCAUGCCCCGCCGCCGGCCCUGCCCGAGGUGUGCUUCAUCGGCCGAAGCAAUGUGGGGAAAUCAUCUUUAAUCCGAGCCUUGUUUUCGCUGUCUCCAGAAGUGGAGGUCAGAGUGUCAAAAACUCCGGGCCACACCAAGAAGAUGAAUUUCUUCAAAGUAGGGAAGUACUUUACUCUGGUGGAUAUGCCAGGAUACGGCUACCGUGCCCCGCAAGACUUUGUGGAGAUGGUGGAGGCCUAUCUGCAGGAACGGCACAACUUGAAGAGGACUUUUCUAUUAGUUGAUGGUGUAGUAGGACUCCAGAAAACAGAUCAUAUUGCAGUAGAGAUGCUGGAAGAGUUUGGGAUUCCUUAUGUGAUGGUGUUAACAAAAAUUGACCGAGCUUCCAGGGGAUUGUUGUUAAAGAACGUGCUGGAGAUCCAGGAGUUUGUAAAGGAGAAAACACAGGGAUGCUUUCCUCAGCUAUUCCUGGUCAGUUCUCUGGAGUUUUCGGGAGUUCACUUGCUAAGGUGUUUUGUAGCCCAUGUUACUGGAAACCUGCCUACUGUAGAGGCCAGCUGAAAAGACUGGCUCCUGAUCUGCUCGGCUCAUCCAGAACGAAAGGUGGAUGAAGGAAAAGACACAUCUUUAACGUGAUCUGCUUUUUGAUCACUGUUGGCUUGAAACAGAGUGGAAUAAAUGACUGACACCUAGGGGAACUCUUUCCUUCUGCACUUCACCAUCAGCGAGUGCUGCAUCUGCCUUCUGUUUUAAAUCCAGCGUGAAGUUCUGCAGCUGCACUCAGAUGAAUUGCCAGAGAUGAGACACAUUCUCCAUUAUCUGCAUCUGUUCUGCUCUGGCAGCUGAAGCACAAUACUGAUGUCCCGUACUGUUUAGGGGCACUGUAGCAGCUUGCAGAACUGCGUCCCUCAGCAGCUGCAUCUGGCUAAGAGCACCUGCAGCUGUCCAGUUACAAGGUACAGACUCGGACAAAAGGACUGCCAUCAAUAGCAGCAGCUGUACAGGAGAACUUAGACCAAAGCUAUUAAGUGCCUGUGUCAAACUCUGGCACUCAGUCUUGUCAUGUCUUAACAUUGCCAAACGUGUGUAUGCAGUUGUCAAAGUUACUUAUGUUAAGUGUUUAAACUUCAAGAAAGGGCAGGUCUUUUGUAAACCACUCUGAGGUAUUUCUAGUGUUUUGUUUCAUUAUGGAAUUUCUUGUAACUCUAAGAUUAGACAUGAGGUGAGGCCUGUUUUCAGCAUACAUGUAAGAAGUGGGGGGUGUGGGGAAUGCAGUAGAAAGAUGUGGAUCUCUAGUUUCCUGUAAUCAAGUGUGUAAUUCUCUAGUAUUUUACCUCUAAUCCCAAAGUGCUCCAGAGCAAACCAGCCCAUAGGAUGCUUGAUCCUAGGGGGAAAUGCAGUAGUAUCUAGACAGAUGGAACAGGUGCAAGUGAACACUUCAGGAAUAAUCUCUUCUUAGUAUCUUUAAAACAGGAUCUUCCAAAAGCAUCGAUCUUGCCAAGGCUGUCAUUUUCAAGGCCUCAGCCUUGACUGAAGAGCCUCUGAAAGUAAGUCUGUAUAUGUAAAGGAAAGUGCAGUUCUGUUUUUAGUCCCUCUUCAGAACAAAACACCUUACAGUGCUAGGCAGUCUUUUAUUAACCACUUAAAUACAUUAAGUAUGUCUGGUAAAUCCGUUUGUAUAAAAAGUGCUCUGAAAUGGCAGCAGACUGUGAAUUGGACCCCAUGAUCCUUGUGGGUGUGUAUAGUUGCCAUGAGGUGUCCUUAGUGGAAGCCACGUGGAGCUAGGUCAUACAGUUUCUUACAGCUGUACCACAAUCAGUAGGUACAGUCUUAUCCUGAAGAACUGGCUUUACCUCUGGACACAUCUGGGUUUUCUGCUGUAUUGGUCAUAAGAUCUUCAUUCACAAAUGCUUCAAGUACUGGAAUAACUCUUGCAUUUUCCUCAGCCAUCUGCAGGAGGGAACACUACAGUUUUGUUACAUGCAAGGAUCAGUGCCCCUGUGACAGGGGAAGUCAUUCUGAGCUGUGCUUGGCACCCUGACAGCGAGGGACUGCCACAGUGAGGACUUCUAGAUACCAAUGCGGACUCCUACAGUGAACGCUCAGUUACAGCGGGAAGCGAGCAGCAUACACAGAAGUUACCACAACACACUCGCAUUGAUUUCAGUCCUGCUUUUGGUGAAAGAGUGUACUCCAUCCUCUGAAUUAAAUUCAGUUUCAAAGUUGCGGCCAUGGGAAACUGCCAUGCUUGUGGGGAUUACCUUCAGUUUCCAAGUUGUUUCGUCGUAAUCACUCAAUUGUGCUUUCAUCUGUGAAGUACUGAGAGCUGGGAAAAGGCGAAACUUAACUGAAAAGGCUACACAUCCAUUCCUGUUUCCUUAAUUCCAAAGGUCAGGAAGAACGUAUUUUCUUUUUGGAUUUCCACCCUCACUGUCAAGAACAGCAAGAGCAUCUACUUCCAUCUCUUUACAACUGCCAACAGUUUCACUCACCAGCUCUUUGCCCUUAGCAUAUUCCAGCUCUCAGAGCCAUCAGUUACUUCACUGAAAAAAAAGACUGUCCAUUCCCCUUCCUGUAUGUUAUUUAUUAUUAAAAGCAUAAUCUCAA